rnacentral:misc_RNA from 1 species
UUUCCGUAGGUGAACCUGCGGAAGGAUCAUUCAUAAUAAGUGUUUAUGGCACCUUUUUAAAUCCAUAUCCACCUUGUGUGCAAUGUCAGGGUUGAUUUUUCUCUCGAGAGGAUCGGCCCCAAACAUCAACUAUAUCUCAACUCUUUGUCUGAAAAAUAUUAUGAAUAAAACAAUUCAAAAUACAACUUUCAACAACGGAUCUCUUGGCUCUC